GGGCGAUUAGCUCAAGUGGCUAGAGCGCAUCCCUUACAAGGAUGAGGUUACAGGUUCGAGUCCUGUAUCGCCCA
rnacentral:tRNA from 1 species